rnacentral:lncRNA from 1 species
GAAAUAAAGAAUUAGGGAUAAAAGAAUCAAAAUCUAAGUAGAACUAAAUUGAAAUAGUCCUUAAUUGCAAUAGUUCUUAAAGAUGACCUAAUUCAUUGCCUGCAAUUGUUCUACAGGCAAGGAAUCAGAUCCAGAGGGGAGACUUGGUUAAAUCGCAAAACUGGGUACUCACAUGUGCGUGCCUGCGUGCUCAGCCACUUCAGUCGUGUCUGACUGUUUGCAACCCUAUGGAACAUAGCCUGCCAGGCUCCUCUGUCCACGGGAUUCUCCAGACAAGCAUGCUGGAGCGGGUUGCCGUUCUAUUCUCAAGGGGUCUUCCCAACUCACUAUAUAGGUAAUUUUGCUUUCUGCAUCUUAAAUUGAAUACUUUUUGUAAACAAUUUUCCAACUCAUUAGAUAGUUUCGAUAGAACAUGAAUGAUAUUUAAUUUUAUUCGGUCAUAUAAUUU